rnacentral:rRNA from 1 species
AUUGAACGCUGGCGGCAGGCCUAACACAUGCAAGUCGAACGAGUGGCGGACGGGUGAGUAAUGUCUGGGAAACUGCCUGAGGGAGGGGGAUACAUACUGGAAACGGUAGCUAAUACCGCAUACCAUCGAAUGUGCCCAGAUGGGGUUAGCUAGUAGGUGGGGUAAAGGCUCACCUAGGCCACGAUCCCUAGCUGGUCUGAGAGGAUGACCAGCCAAACUGGAACGGAGACACGGUCCAGACUCCUACGGGAGGCAGCAGUGGUGAAUAUGGCACAAUGGGCGCAAGCCUGAUGCAGCCAUGCCGCGUGUAUGAAGAAGGCCUUCGGGUUGUAAAGUACUUUCAGCGGGGAGGCGUUACCCGCAGAAGAAGCACCGGCUAACUCCGUGCCAGCAGCCGCGGUAAUAC